rnacentral:rRNA from 1 species
AUAUGCCGAGAGGUGAAACGAAUUUCGCCUGAGGAUGAGCUCGCGUCUGAUUAGCUUGUUGGUGGGGUAACAGCCUACCAAGGCUUCGAUCGGUAGCUGGUCUGAGGGGACGAUCAGCCACACUGGGACUGAGACACGGCCCAGACUCCUACGGGAGGCAGCAGUGGGGAAUUUUCCGCAAUGGGCGAAAGCCUGACGGAGCAACGCCGCGUGAGGGAUGAAGGCCUUUGGGCUGUAAACCUCUUUUCUCAAGGAAGAAGAUCUGACGGUACUUGAGGAAUAAGCCACGGCUAAUUCCGUGCCAGCAGCCGCGGUAAUACGGGAGUGGCAAGCGUUAUCCGGAAUUAUUGGGCGUAAAGCGUCCGCAGGCGGCCGUUUAAGUCUGUUGUUAAAUCGUGGAGCUCAACUCCAUCACGGCAAUGGAAACUGUUCGGCUUGAGUAUGGUAGGGGCAGAGGGAAUUUCCGGUGUAGCGGUGAAAUGCGUAGAUAUCGGGAAGAACACCAGUGGCGAAAGCGCUCUGCUGGACCAUUACUGACGCUCAUGGACGAAAGCCAGGGGAGCGAAAGGGAUUAGAUACCCCUGUAGUCCUGGCCGUAAACGAUGAACACUAGAUGUUGGGGGAAUCGACCCCCUCGGUGUCGUAGCUAACGCGUUAAGUGUUCCGCCUGGGGAGUACGCACGCAAGUGUGGAACUCAAAGGAAUUGACGGGGGCCCGCACAAGCGGUGGAGUAUGUGGUUUAAUUCGAUGCAACGCGAAGAACCUUACCAAGGCUUGACAUCCUGCGAAUCUCCGAGAAAUUGGAGAGUGCCUUCGGGAACGCAGUGACAGGUGGUGCAUGGCUGUCGUCAGCUCGUGUCGUGAGAUGUUGGGUUAAGUCCCGCAACGAGCGCAACCCACGUUUUUAGUUGCCAGCAUUCAGUUGGGCACUCUAGAAAGACUGCCGGUGACAAACCGGAGGAAGGUGUGGACGACGUCAAGUCAUCAUGCCCCUUACGCCUUGGGCUACACACGUACUACAAUGCUGCGGACAAAGAGU